UACGUAGGUUGCGAGCGUUAUUCGGAUUUACUGGGCGUAAAGAGCACCGAGGUGGCUUCUUAAGUCGGGUGUGAAAGCCCCGGGCUCAACCUGGGAAUUGCAUUCGAGACUGAAUAGCUAGGGUACGGUAGAGGGAAGUGGAAUUUCCGGUGUAGCGGUGAAAUGCGUAGAUAUCGGAAGGAACAUCAGUGGCGAAAGCGACUUCCUGGACCAGUACCGACGUUCAGGCACGAAAGCGUGGGGAGCAAACAGG
rnacentral:rRNA from 1 species